rnacentral:rRNA from 1 species
UACGUAGGUGGCAAGCGUUGUCCGGAUUUACUGGGCGUAAAGGGCGCGUAGGCGGCCAGCACAAGUCAGUUGUGAAAAUCUCCGAGCUUAACUCGGAAAGGUCAACUGAUACUGUGCGGCUAGAGUGCAGAAGGGGCAACUGGAAUUCUUGGUGUAGCGGUGAAAUGCGUAGAUAUCGGGAGGAACACCCUGUGGCGAAGGCGGCCCCUGGUUGGAUACUGACGCUGAUACGCGAAAGCGUGGGGAAG